AACGAACGCUGGCGGCAGGCUUAACACAUGCAAGUCGAACGCCCCGCAAGGGGAGUGGCAGACGGGUGAGUAACGCGUGGGAAUCUACCUAGUUCUACGGAACAACACAGGGAAACUUGUGCUAAUACCGUAUACGCCCUACGGGGGAAAGAUUUAUCGGAAUUAAAUGAGCCCGCGUAAGAUUAGCUAGUUGGUGGGGUAAUGGCCUACCAAGGCGACGAUCUUUAGCUGGUCUGAGAGGAUGAUCAGCCACACUGGGACUGAGACACGGCCCAGACUCCUACGGGAGGCAGCAGUGGGGAAUAUUGGACAAUGGGCGAAAGCCUGAUCCAGCCAUGCCGCGUGAGUGAUGAAGGCCUUAGGGUUGUAAAGCUCUUUCAGUAGGGAAGAUAAUGACGGUACCUACAGAAGAAGCCCCGGCUAACUUCGUGCCAGCCGCCGCCGUAAGAC
rnacentral:rRNA from 1 species